rnacentral:misc_RNA from 1 species
GUGAAUCAUCAAAUUUUUGAACGCAUAUUGCACUCCCUGGUAUUCCGGGGAGUAUGCCUAUUUGAGGGUCAGUUUUAAUAAUAUAAAUUCCAAGAUUUCUCGGAAUUUAAAAUGGGUUGUCCAUUUUUUGUUGUCGCCUAUAAUUCAAGACAAGCUCAUUUUCUUUGGUUGCGUGAUUCUUUCAGUUAACUCGUGACUUAUCUAGUUAUC